rnacentral:rRNA from 1 species
AAAGAUUAAGCCAUGCAUGUCUAAGCAUAAACCGAAUAUGGUAAAGCCGCGAAUGGCUCAUUACAACAGCCAUAGUUUAUUGGAUCUUAGAGUCCUACUUGGAUACCUGUGGUAAUUCUAGAGCUAAUACACGCAAUCAAGCCCCAACCUUACGGGCGGGGCGCAUUUAUUAGAACAAAACCAAUUGGCUUCGGCCAUAGCUUGGUGAAUCUGAAUAACUACGCUGAUCGCACGGGCUUGUCCCGGCGACGUAUCCUUCAAGUGUCUGCCUUAUCAACUUUCGAUGGUAGUUUAUAUGACUACCAUGGUUGUAACGGGUAACGGAGAAUAAGGGUUCGACUCCGGAGAGGGAGCCUGAGAAACGGCUACCACAUCCAGGAAGGCAGCAGGCGCGCAAAUUACCCACUCUCAGAACGAGGAGGUAGUGACGAAAAAUAACGAGACAGUUCUCUAUGGGGUCUGUCAUCGGAAUGGGUACAAUCUAAACCCUUUAACGAGGAUCUAUUGGAGGGCAAGUCUGGUGCCAGCAGCCGCGGUAAUUCCAGCUCCAAUAGCGUAUAUUAAAGUUGUUGCGGUUAAAAAGCUCGUAGUUGGAUCUACGAUCAAGGCUUGUGGUCGUCCUUCUCGGAUGUACUGCUUAGUCUGGUCGAAUUAUCUGGUGAACGAUUGAUGCUCUUCACUGAGUGUCUCUAGUUGCUGGAACGUUUACCUUGAAAAAAUUGAAGUGCUCAAAGCAGGCUUACGCCUGAACAUUGUUGCAUGGGAUAAUCGAAUAGGACUUCGGUUCUAUUUUGUUGGUUUCGGAACGCGAAGUAAUGAUUAAUAGGGACAGACGGGGGCAUUCGUAUUGCUGCGUUAGAGGUGAAAUUCUUGGAUCGUAGCAAGACGACCUACUGCGAAAGCAUUUGCCAAGAAUGUUUUCAUUAAUCAAGAACGAAAGUUAGAGGUUCGAAGGCGAUCAGAUACCGCCCUAGUUCUAACCGUAAACGAUGUUAACUAGCGACUCGCAGGUGUUACUUUAACGGCCCUGCGAGGAGCUCCCGGGAAACCUAAGUGUUCGAAUUCCGGGGGAAGUAUGGUUGCAAAGCUGAAACUUAAAGGAAUUGACGGAAGGGCACCACCAGGAGUGGAGCUUGCGGCUUAAUUUGACUCAACGCGGGGAAACUCACUUGGUCAGGACACUGUAAGGAUUGACAGAUUGAAAGCUCUUUCUUGAUUCGGUGGAUGGUGGUGCAUGGCCGUUCUUAGUUGGUGGAGUGAUUUGUCUGGUUAAUUCCGAUAACGAGCGAGA